AGAGCUGCUGUGCAGGAUAGCUGGGAUGAACAGAGGUGGCUCUGAUGCUCAUGGACUUGCUCUCCCUUCCUCCUACAGAGAACGGCUCUGCUCUGACCGUCUGGGGCACGGGCAAGCCCAGGAGACAGUUCAUCUACUCCCUGGUAUGGCCUUGGGGACCACCCUCCUCCCAUGGUUUGGGGAGGGCAGGGUAUGGGGCUUAGGGAACCAUUAGAGUCCAACUGGGUUGUCCUGGGCAGCGUUGGCCAUCCUUAGGGCUUGGUCCUCUUGUGAUGGGAGGGCUGGGGACAAUAGACACCCCCUAAAAGCCAUUUGCUCUUCCACAGGACCUGGCCAGGCUUUUCCUCUGGGUCCUACGGGAAUACGACGAGGUGGAACCCAUCAUCUUGUCAGUGGGAGAAGAAGAUGAAGUCUCCAUCAGGGAGGCAGCAGAAGCUAUCGUGGAGGCCAUGGACUUCAGGGGAGAGCUUCUUUUUGACACCACCAAGGCCGAUGGGCAGUUCAAGAAGACAGCCAGCAAUGCCAAGCUACGGCGCUACCUGCCCAGCUUCCAGUUCACACCCUUCAGACAAGCUGUGAAGGAGACCUGCGCCUGGUUCAGCACCAACUACGCCAACGCCAGGAAGUGACAGGUCAAUGUGGCACCAGCAUCAUCCUCUUCAACUCAGGGUUGUCCUUUGCUGGGGCAGAGGACGGGGCUUGGGGGGGGACACACAGUGACAUUUCCAAAGUACAAGAGGGCUGCCAGAGCCCACUGAGAAGCCACCAUGGUCCCACCUGCUACUGGGAGCAGUGUGAGAUGCUCAAUGCAGGUGGAAGGAAGGUUUGGGCACUCCAAAAGGUGCUGGCACCCCAGACUAGGUGGGAACAGCCAACUGGAGCCACCACCUUGGCUGUGUCCAAGAAGCUGGUGGCUCUGGCUGAGCUCUCAUGGAUUACACUACUAAUUACCUGUAAUCAGACUGUAAUAAAAGGAAGGUGAUCAGGGUUCCUCUGGCACAGGAAUGGCAACCAGGCCUUUGCUGUUGGUUUUGGCACAUGCAGAUGAUCCCAAAGCCCCAGCAUCAGAAUGGGGGGACACCAGAAUGGGGGAAGCUCCAGCUGUAAAUAGGGCAUUUAUUAAAAUGGAUGGAAAUAGGUUAAAAGUGGUGGGAUGAGGAGCAUCUGCUCUGCAGAACAGACCCAUACUCAUGUCUUUAGGGUCCUGAGCACCACCACACGCUCUCCAGCAGGAUCUGGAAGAGCCAAAAGAGGGUUUAAAACCCCUCUGAGAGGGAAUGGAGUGUCAAACACGGGGAGAUGAGCCCAUGGCCAAGCUCCUGCAUGAGAUUCAACCAAUGGCAUGGACAUGGCAGAAGUCCUGCCCUUGGAUGGCUUUCUUCCGGCAUCGCUGCCCAGCCCUGGUAAGCCCUUGGCAUAGGGACUGUGGGGACAGCAAGGACCUAACAGCAGAG
rnacentral:lncRNA from 14 species